rnacentral:rRNA from 1 species
CACGUAGGGCGCAAGCGUUUGUCCGGAAUUAUUGGGCGUAAAGAGCUCGUAGGCGGUGUGUCGCGUCGGCCGUGAAAACCUGGGGCUCAACUCUGGGCGUGCGGUCGAUACGGGCAUCACUUGAGUUCGGCAGGGGAGACUGGAAUUCCUGGUGUAGCGGUGAAAUGCGCAGAUAUCAGGAGGAACACCUGCGGCGAAGGCGGGUUGCUGGGCCGACACUGACGCUGAGGCGCGAAAGCUAGGGGAGCGAACGGG